rnacentral:rRNA from 1 species
UACGUAGGGUGCGAGCGUUGUCCGGAAUUAUUGGGCGUAAAGAGCUCGUAGGCGGUCUGUCACGUCGGCCGUGAAAACCUGCAGCUUAACUGUGGGCGUGCGGUCGAUACGGGCAUCACUGGAGUUCGGCAGGGGAGACUGGAAUUCCUGGUGUAGCGGUGAAAUGCGCAGAUAUCAGGAGGAACACCGGUGGCGAAGGCGGGUCUCUGGGCCGAUACUGACGCUGAGGAGCGAAAGCGUGGGGAGCAAACAGG